CUUUAUUAGUAAUAAAAAAGGACUCAGAAUUGCUAAAAAUACUCAUUCUGAGUCUAUAGUAUUUUUGAAGUACAACUACAGGACAUAUAUCUGUAGAGUUUUUGAACAAAGGAAUAGUAAUACCAUACCUAAAAGGAUCAGUCUUAGAUUUCUUAAGGUGCACAAAAAUACAGUCAUUUGAUAUUUGAACAUCACUCAGACACAAAUUUGAUUCAUGAUCAAAUUUUUUGGUAUCAUAAACAGAAAAUUCACC
rnacentral:lncRNA from 1 species